rnacentral:rRNA from 1 species
GGAUGGAGGCCUUCGGGUUGUAAACCUCUUUUGUUAGGGAGCAAGGCACUUUGUGUUGAGUGUACCUUUCGAAUAAGCACCGGCUAACUACGUGCCAGCAGCCGCGGUAAUACGUAGGGUGCAAGCGUUAUCCGGAAUUAUUGGGCGUAAAGGGCUCGUAGGCGGUUCGUCGCGUCCGGUGUGAAAGUCCAUCGCUUAACGGUGGAUCCGCGCCGGGUACGGGCGGGCUUGAGUGCGGUAGGGGAGACUGGAAUUCCCGGUGUAACGGUGGAAUGUGUAGAUAUCGGGAAGAACACCAAUGGCGAAGGCAGGUCUCUGGGCCGUUACUGACGCUGAGGAGCGAAAGCGUGGGGAGCGAACAGGAUUAGAUACCCUGGUAGUCCACGCCGUAAACGGUGGAUGCUGGAUGUGGGGCCCGUUCCACGGGUUCCGUGUCGGAGCUAACGCGUUAAGCAUCCCGCCUGGGGAGUACGGCCGCAAGGCUAAAACUCAAAGAAAUUGACGGGGGCCCGCACAAGCGGCGGAGCAUGCGGAUUAAUUCGAUGCAACGCGAAGAACCUUACCUGGGCUUGACAUGUUCCCGACGAUCCCAGAGAUGGGGUUUCCCUUCGGGGCGGGUUCACAGGUGGUGCAUGGUCGUCGUCAGCUCGUGUCGUGAGAUGUUGGGUUAAGUCCCGCAACGAGCGCAACCCUCGCCCCGUGUUGCCAGCGGAUUAUGCCGGGAACUCACGGGGGACCGCCGGGGUUAACUCGGAGGAAGGUGGGGAUGACGUCAGAUCAUCAUGCCCCUUACGUCCAGGGCUUCACGCAUGCUACAAUGGCCGGUACAACGGGAUGCGACAGUGCGAGCUGGAGCGGAUCCCUGAAAACCGGUCUCAGUUCGGAUCGCAGUCUGCAACUCGACUGCGUGAAGGCGGAGUCGCUAGUAAUCGCGAAUCAGCAACGUCGCGGUGAAUGCGUUCCCGGGCCUUGUACACACCGCCCGUCAAG